rnacentral:lncRNA from 1 species
UUUAUAAAUGCCCUGGCAAUGUCAGGAAGUUAGCCUAUGUGGUGGUCUAAAAACAGAAGGCAUGAAUAAUCCACCCCUUGUUUAGCACAUAAUCAAGAAAUAACCGUAAGAAUGUGCAACCAGCAGCCCUUGGGGCUGCUCUGUCUAUGGAGUGGCCAUUCUUUUAUUCCUUUGCUUUCCUAAUAAACUUGCUUUCACUUUACAGACUUGCCCUGAAUUCUUUCUUGCGCGAGAUCUAAGAACCCUCUCUUGGGGUCUGGAUGAGGACCACCUUCCUGUAACAUCUUUCUGGCAACCACAGAAGGGACACAAAGGCUACCUUUGGCUUGGCCCCCAGGGCUAGGGUCCAGCCGCCGGGUCACUAGGACCACUCAAAGAAAGGGAACACAAAAGCCUCACGUGCCAGCAAAAGGGUGAUAUAGUGUUGUAGCUGAAUCGUAUCACACACAAUUCAAAUGUUGACACCUUAAGCCCUAGUAUCUCUGCAAGUGACUGUAUUUGAAACCAGAGCCUUUAAAGACAUGUUUAGGUUAAAAUGAAGUGUUAGGGUGGGCCCUAAUUCAGUCUGACUGGUGUCUAUAAGAAAAGAAUAUUAGGACACCCAAAGAGGCACCAUCAAGACUGUAAACACACAGAGAAAAGUCCAUGUGAGGACACAGCAAGAAGGCAGCCAUCUACAAGCCAAGGGAAGAGGCUGC